rnacentral:rRNA from 1 species
UAGGGAAUCUUCCACAAUGGACGCAAGUCUGAUGGAGCAACUCCGCGUGAGUGAAGAAGGUUUUCGGAUCGUAAAGCUCUGUUGUUGGUGAAGAAGGAUAGAGGCAGUAACUGGUCUUUAUUUGACGGUAAUCAACCAGAAAGUCACGGCUAACUACGUGCCAGCAGCCGCGGUAAUACGUAGGUGGCAAGCGUUGUCCGGAUUUAUUGGGCGUAAAGCGAGCGCAGGCGGAAUGAUAAGUCUGAUGUGAAAGCCCACGGCUCAACCGUGGAACUGCAUCGGAAACUGUCAUUCUUGAGUGCAGAAGAGGAGAGUGGAACUCCAUGUGUAGCGGUGGAAUGCGUAGAUAUAUGGAAGAACACCAGUGGCGAAGGCGGCUCUCUGGUCUGCAACUGACGCUGAGGCUCGAAAGCAUGGGUAGCGAACAGGAUUAGAUACCCUGGUAGUCCAUGCCGUAAACGAUGAGCGCUAGGUGUUGGGGAC